rnacentral:rRNA from 1 species
CACGUAGGGUGCGAGCGUUGUCCGGAAUUAUUGGGCGUAAAGAGCUCGUAGGCGGUGUGUCGCGUCGGCCGUGAAAACCUGCAGCUUAACCGUGGGCUUGCAGCCGAUACGGGCAGGCUAGAGUUCGGUAGGGGAGACUGGAAUUCCUGGUGUAGCGGUGAAAUGCGCAGAUAUCAGGAGGAACACCGGUGGCGAAGGCGGGUCUCUGGGCCGAUACUGACGCUGAGGAGCGAAAGCGUGGGGAGCGAACAGG